GCAAGAAUUUAUAAAUAUCAUAAUAUGAUAUAAAAGAUAAAUUUCAUUUCAUUUUUCCAAAAGAAAUAAAAUGAAGAAAAAAGAUAACUAUUCUGAAUAUUUCUAAAAAAUCUGACUUUAUGGGGUACAAAAAAAGUUACGAUACAUACUCAUUGCAAGCCCUCAAAUUACAAAAUUGAGGUUCCUUUUCUAAAUCAUCAAUGGAACUGAGGACAAGUGAAUCUUGAUAACCUUAUUGUUAAAAGAUUUGUUGUUUUUUGUAUAUUAUUCAAUUUGUAUUUUGUAUGUACAGCACCAAUAAAGAAGCUGACUUUUUUUUUUAUACUAUACAACAAUACAGAUUAGCUAAGCAUGUUCAAGAAUAUUGGACAUUUCCAAGCGAAAUAACACAACUUGAUAAGAAAUUAUUAUAAAAACUCUGAUAGUUUUAAAUUGCUAACCGA
rnacentral:lncRNA from 1 species